UACAGAGGGGGCAAGCGUUGUUCGGAAUUACUGGGCGUAAAGGGCGCGUAGGCGGCCCGCUAAGUCGAACGUGAAAUCCCCGGGCUCAACCCGGGAACUGCGUCCGAUACUGGUGGGCUUGAAUCCGGGAGAGGGAUGCGGAAUUCCAGGUGUAGAGGUGAAAUUCGUAGAUAUUCGGAAGAACACCAGUGGCGAAGGCGGCUCACUGGUCCGGUACUGACGCUGAGGUGCGAAAGCGUGGGGAGCAAACAGG
rnacentral:rRNA from 1 species